rnacentral:piRNA from 1 species
CAUUACAGAAAAUUGGACCAAUU